UAACCAGUCGGAUCUGCGAGAUCCGCAGAGUGGGUGUGGUAUUUUGUAAACAGUCUAGAACAAAACUCAAGUAAAAAUAAAAAUAAAAAUAGACAUUUUGAGAUUAAAGACAAAAAUCCCUAAAACAUUACCCGUUAUGUGCUUUUCAAGAUUUGACUCACCAAGAAGCCGUGAUUUGAUAUAUUAGUUAAAGCCUAAUUGACUAACUAUCACUUAACGACUUUUAGAAGAUAACUGAUCCAAAGGUUUAUGUAUGACUAUAUGUGAGAGAAAUUAAGCACAAACAAUGUGCUAUCUGCGGCCAAAUAUCCACCUGAAGUUUAAAUCUUCACAAUGAAAUGAAGAUGAAGAUGAAUAAUGGGAUGAAUCAUUGCAGGAAGAGAUUGAAAAGAAAAGUGUUGAUGCUAAAUAAAUUGGACUACCAGAACAUAAGCCUAAAAAUAUUGUGAUUAAACAAAAGAAACUUCACCACAGAUAAAACACCAGUACCAAUUUCUUCAACUAAUAAUAAACAGCUCCUCUUCAUUUGUUGCUUUAUCAAUUUCAAUUUCAGAUGCAUUUCAGAGAAUUCCAGUAAGAUAUAGCAAAUCAAAAGGCUUGGGAAAGUUCAUCUUUUAAUAUAUUCUUUAGAGCUCAAUGUGAUACUGCAUAUUGUCGACUCCUGAUUUCAUUUAAACAUUUACUGCAGUUGACUUAGUGAUGUAUUAAAAUGUGCAUUCUUCAUAUUAUUCAGUCUAUACUUUCAGUUUCAGGUAUUUGUAUUUCGUUUGGAGGUCGUCCGCAUCAUCUUUUUGCUCUUUUUCAGGUGAUACCAAAAUAUUUUCAGAAGCUACUAGAGUAUAUCUCUAUUAUAUUUUUGCGGACGGAGCCCUUGUGUGAUCUUGAUAGGAUGUUCUCGAAGAAAUGCAGAGAGGAGGACGAACAGGGGCAUAGAUAUUUUUUUUGCAUUCCUCCCUUCUAGUAAAAAAAUAAAGAAAAGCUAUUCAUGAAAUGAAUGAAGAAUCUAAAGCUCCGUUUCAAGAUCAACAUCCAAGAUAGGGAUUUCAACAACAAAAGAGCACUUGAGCAAUUAAAUAUAGUGAAUUCACACAAAAAAGAUCUGCGAAGAUACCAAAUAAGUGGCUAAUUUGGGAAUGUAACCUAUAUUACCUGUUCUUACAUUUUGUAAAGAAUUCCCCAAAACUGUUGGA